rnacentral:rRNA from 1 species
GACGAACGCUGGCGGCGUGCUUAACACAUGCAAGUCGAACGGACAGGCCCUGCUUUUGUGGGGUGCUCGAGUGGCGAACGGGUGAGUAACACGUGAGUAACCUGCCCUUGACUUUGUGAUAACUUCAGGAAACUGGGGCUCAUACCGGACAGGAGCUCCUGCUGCAUGGUGGUGGUUGGAAAGUUUCGGCGGUUGGGGAUGGUCUCGCGGCUUAUCAGCUUGUUGGUGGGGUAGUGGCUUACCAAGGCUUUGACGGGUAGCCGGCCUGAGAGGGUGACCGGCCACAUUGGGACUGAGAUACGGCCCAGACUCCUACGGGAGGCAGCAGUGGGGAAUAUUGCACAAUGGGCGGAAGCCUGAUGCAGCAACGCCGCGUGCGGGAUGACGGCCUUCGGGUUGUAAACCGCUUUCGCCUGUGACGAAGCGUGAGUGACGGUAAUGGGUAAAGAAGCACCGGCUAACUACGUG